UCAGAUUGAACGCUGGCGGCAGGCCUAACACAUGCAAGUCGAGCGGUAACAUUUCUAGCUUGCUAGAAGAUGACGAGCGGCGGACGGGUGAGUAAUGCUUGGGAACAUGCCUUGAGGUGGGGGACAACCAUUGGAAACGAUGGCUAAUACCGCAUAAUGUCUACGGACCAAAGGGGGCUUCGGCUCUCGGCCUUUAAGAUUGGCCCAAGUGGGAUUAGCUAGUUGGUGAGGUAAAGGCUCACCAAGGCGACGAUCCCCUAGCUGGUUUGAGAGGAUGAUCAGCCACACUGGAACUGAGACACGGUCCAGACUCCUACGGGAGGCAGCAGUGGGGAAUAUUGCACAAUGGGCGCAAGCCUGAUGCAGCCAUGCCGCGUGUGUGAAGAAGGCCUUCGGGUUGUAAAAGCACUUUCAGUCAGGAGGAAAGGUUAGUAGUUAAUACCUGCUAGCUGUGACG
rnacentral:rRNA from 2 species